AUGUCUUCAACCUCGAAGCCCAACCUUCCGUGGGUGGUGGUCUCCUCUGUGUCCUUCCUCUUUGCCAUUUUCGAUAUCACCAGUCGUUCCAAUGGUACUAUCAAUCGCCACCUCCUCUCACUCCUUGACUGGAAAAUUCCUCCUAACCCUAACUCCAAAUCCAUCAACGAUAUAUCUUCCUCUGAAAUCGUGGUAAACUCCACACAGAAUCUCUGGUUUUGUCUCUUCAUACCUUCCUCUGCUUAUGCCUCCACAAUCUCAUCCCUCCCAGUUAUCAUAUUCUUCCACGGAGGCAGCUUCGCUUACAUGUCUCCUUCUUCUAUCCCAUACCAUUUUCUUUGCCGAUUAUUUUGUUGUUCUUUUCCCGCCAUUGUAGUCUUUGUCAAUUAA